GACGUAGGGCGCGAGCGUUGUCCGGAUUUAUUGGGCGUAAAGAGCUCGUAGGCGGCUUGUCGCGUCGAAUGUGAAAACCCCGGGGCUCAACCCCGGGCCUGCAUUCGAUACGGGCAGACUAGAGUUCGGUAGGGGAGUCUGGAAUUCCUGGUGUAGCGGUGAAAUGCGCAGAUAUCAGGAGGAACACCGGUGGCGAAGGCGGGACUCUGGGCCGAUACUGACGUGAGGAGCGAAAGCGUGGGGAGCAAACAGG
rnacentral:rRNA from 1 species